GGAUGUGACCUACCUCCGUGGAAAUCAGUGGCUGUUGGUGGGCCAUGGAGUCAUCCUCAUUCUGGCAGCAGAGAAAGGAAAAAUCCCAGCAGUUGCAGGAUUUGCAUGGAGACACAAAGUGAACCCACAUCAGAGACCUGUGAAAUUCCUGCUCUCCUCCGACACCAUGUCAGAAUUUGUCUGGAAAGAUUUCCUUUCAGAGCACUUUGUUAUUUGCCACCUGCCUUAAGGACAGGGUCUGCAACCAGCCUGGCCUCCUCCCUGCCGUUCAGCUCUGAGCAUCGUUAGAGGACACAGCAAGGAAGUCUGUUCUUACCAGCCAAAGCAAUGAUCACCUGUGACAGAGAGAAACACAUGUCCAAAAGGAAGGGAAAGCACAGAGGGAUGUGCCUGGACGCAACCCAGCGCCAGAGGAGCAGAUAAAGGUUAAAACAGAUAUAUGGGGAGCAGCAAUGAAUUCCGAAACUUGCCUAGAAACGCAGCAUACUUCAGCAGCCCUGGCUCCUAGUACACAGCCUGCAGUACCAACACAGCAAGCACCAGCCUGUCAUGAAGUGCUUAACGCAGCCUUACCGUUCUCUGCUGUUCGCAAACCUCUCAACUGAAAAGAUGUACCCACAGUUCUUGGUAUCUGGACAGCAAUUCCUCCUGCAGGACAUGGCAGAGAGGCUGAGAGCGGAGUCUGCCUACACACAGCCCUGCAUCGCUACAGACUAGAGAAAAUACUAGUGUAUGAAGCCUUUUCGGUAGAGCUGAGAGACAGUUAUUUUAAAGCUGCUGGUACUUGGCCUGUUUUCAUAAAAGAUAUUCUACUGCAAACUUCAGAAAGCCCCAAAUUCUCUGAGGCCAAACCCACCGUUGUAUUACAGGAGUGUCUCAAAAGCACAAGCAUUAACAAAAAGAGUGGGAGCACAAGAGGGACUGCUGUUCUGCUUAAAUGGCUGGAAGGUUCUCUAAAAGCAAAAGCUGGCUGUUUCUCGUAACAAGUCAUCAAGCAAAUCAACGCCAAUGAGAACAGAUCCAAAAUGCAAAGAUUUCUUCUUUUUAUAGGAAUAAAAGAUAAAUAUGUCACCAAAGAAAGAAAGUUGAGCUUCCAAUAGUGGAAACUGUAGAGGAUUCAAGCGCAAACACCUACAGCACUUACUGGCAAACUACGAAAGUACUCAGACUUUCCACAGGUCUCCAGCCUGAGCUAUUCUAAUUAUAUGCCUGUUGGCAACAGCAUGUCACCAGGGAGGCAAUAAAUAAGUGAUAACAUGCAUGGGACCUGGCACACACACUUUUCCAGCACAGAAAGAUCAUCCUUCACCAAGUGAUGCAGGCCACCUGAGCGAAUGAAAUAUGCAAGCCUGAGACUCCAAGUAAAUAGCUGCAGAGGACAUAUGUGUCAUAGUAAUAAAUAAAGGCAAGCAACAGAAACCUGCAA
rnacentral:lncRNA from 1 species